AUGAUGUGUGAUUGUCCUUUAGUUAUGUUAUUAUGGUUAAAUAUUGUUCAUAGCAAUACUAGAAGAUGGGUUUUAUCUUAUAAUAUGCAGCAGUGGAUAACAAUGAAUUUAUGCAUAGAGGUGAGGUGGAACAAGAAAGAAGAUUGGAGUAAUUAUUGGGUUAUGUCUUGUGACUAUAUUUGA